rnacentral:rRNA from 1 species
AGUGAACGUUGGCGGCGUGGAUUAGGCAUGCAAGUCGAGCGAUGACCGUAGCAAUACGGGGACAGCGGCGAAAGGGACAGUAAUGUGUAGGUACCUACCUCCGGGUUCGGGAUAGCUGCGGGAAACUGCAGGUAAUACCGAAUAACGUCUCCGGACCAAAGGUGUGAUUCCACCUGGAGAGGGGCCUGCAUCCUAUUAGCUUGUUGGCGGGGUAACGGCCCACCAAGGCGACGAUGGGUAGCGGGUGUGAGAGCACGACCCGCGUCAUUGGGACUUAGACACUGCCCAGACACCUGCGGGUGGCUGCAGUCGGGAAUCUUCGGCAAUGGGCGCAAGCCUGACCGGGCGACGCCGCGUGCGGGAUGAAGGCCUUCGGGUUGUAAACCGCUGUCGUAGAGGAGGAAAUGCAGGGGGGUUCUCCCCUUCUGUUUGACCUAUUCUAGGAGGAAGUACGGGCUAAGUUCGUGCCAGCGCCGCGGUAA